rnacentral:lncRNA from 1 species
AAUUGGGGCAACAUUUUCUGUGCUACCACAUUGUUAAAUCACAUUUAUCAUCAAUUAAACUUUACUUCUGUAUACUUUAUUUAUUUCCUGCUGAUAAACCUUACCAGCCUGAUUUGGAGAUAGAAAAAUACGUGAGCUGGGACAUGACAACUUGAGGAGCACAGUUAAAGAAACAUACCAGCUUCAACAGAAGAAGAGUCUGAGAAAUAAUUGAUUCAUCCUCCUCUUAUUGCCGGCUCUCCAGUUGUAUUGAUCUUCCUUGCCCUGAAGUUUUUCCUGGUGAGCAAACAACAGACACUUGACUUCCUGUCUCUUCUCUUUCCUACUAUGAGUUUGUUCUGAAUCCCUGGUGGGCUGAGACCUCCUAUUGACUUUAGAUGGGAAAUCUUCUUAUAA